UACGUAGGGAGCAAGCGUUGUCCGGAAUCAUUGGGCGUAAAGCGCGCGUAGGCGGCCGGUAAGUCCGUUGUAAAAGUCAAAGGCUCAACCUUUGAAAGCCGAUGGAUACUGCCGGGCUAGAGUCCGGAAGACGGCGAGUAGAAUUCCUGGUGUAGCGGUGGAAAUGCGCAGAUAUCAGGAAGAACACCCGUGGCGAAGGCGGCUCUCGUGG
rnacentral:rRNA from 1 species